ensembl:lncRNA
AACCGAGCUGCUCAAAGCAAAUGUCACGUUUGGGUCUGAAGGGCUGCGACGCGAAGGCUGGAAACACGAGGAGGAUCUCCUCCUCUUCGCUCUGAAGGAUCAAGAUGUUGUGAGACAGCCUUCGUGUUAGUCUGAAGGUGUGAGAGAAUACCGAGUGAAGACCACCCUACCAGGUCCACAUGGCCAACGCCAUGUGGUUGCUCCGUGGCGACGUCACCAACGAGGAGGGAGAAGUCUGUUUCUGGAAUGAGCACAUUAUGAGUCCUGCUGAGGUCGGCUGUGUCUCCAUAAUCAGAUCAACACCUGCCCUUGAAUAAGUGAUGGAACCUUGAGUCUGAGAUGAAUCGCUUCAGCGAGCACGGACACUUUGGACGGGCUGUUUCCCCACGUGCACAUUCUAAAAUGAAUUAUUGUUUGUGUAGUAUUUGCUGCUCCAUGGUUACCUGUUCCCAGUGACACGACGCCACUGGGAACAGGUGAGGGAAAUAACAACUUAACUAUUGUUAUUCUGGUUGUCAGGCGGAGUUCACACAGCGACUGCCUGGAAAACGAGAAAGAAUGAGACUACAGGUUCUUCUGGAUGAGAAGGAAACAGCAUGAUGAACACACACACACACACACACACACACACACACACACACACACACACAUGGAGAAUGAAUCAGAGGGGAAUCUUUCUGUGAUGAAACGAAACCAAAGAGAACGUAGUGACGAAGAGUCUCUUCUCUUCUGACAUCAGGAAAAAGGAGACGAGCUCCUCGCCAGCUGUCGAUGUCUAACGGACUUUGGGUGAAAAUAUGGAACACAGGAUCACGUUUCUUCUGCUGGUUGUGAUUCAUUUGUGAACUGUUCAUCUUUUCUGCUCGUCUUCAUAAAUCCUCCACGUGCAGCACGGCAGGAGAGUCGAAUGGAUUCUAUUGAUACGAGAACACAGUUACAAACUCAUUAAACUCCAUUCUUGAUGUCAUUGGUGGUUCUUGUUGUUUUUUGCAUAUUGAACCUGUUAUUUUCUUUGUUGUUUCCCAUUUGUGCUGCAGUGCUUCUAGAGUCCAGGUUUGCAUUUACAGUGAAAAUGAUGAAGGAAACGAUCGUCCCUCACUGAUUCAUCCCGGGGGAGCACAGCGCUGUGGUAAUUAAAUAAAUGUUCUGUUUCUGCCUUUCUAAGUAUAUACAGUAUUAAUAUUACUGUAUGAUAUGACGGUGAUUAGUAUAAGUAUUGAAGUAUUUAAUGAAAAUGAACGUGAUCAACAGAAUCAAAAAUGUUACGUCAUGAAAGAUGUUCUAUACUGAACGUGCAAAACAAAUCUGAUAAAAAUCUUUCGUAUCCUGCUGACACCAACACACAAACAGAGACGGCAUCACCUCCUCAGAGGGAGCAAAAGCAAAAAAAGGCUUUUUAUUUAUUUUUAUUUUCAGCCAAAAGCAGCAGCAAUCUUUAAAAAUGUGUUUAUUUCCUGUCUUUUCUGUGUCUUCGUGUGUCCUAACGUUCUCUCAAAACUCAUUCCUGAAAACAAAAAUCCAAACUGCUUUGGCUCUUUUCUCUCCAUUGAGGGACAGUCUUUUUUUUAACAAGAAGCGCCACUAGUCUCUGGAUGACGAUCACAUGAUCGGAUCCAGAUCGCGUCGCGGCUGCAGGUGCCGUUUUCCGGCCGAGAGUGGAUUUAAUUCUACUAAUUAGGAUUCCGCUGUGUGUUUCAGUGAAUGCAUGAUAUAUUUAAUCAGAGCGCUUUGUUUGAUGAGCAUUUUUGUGUCAUCGCUGAAUAUGAAAUGUGGCCAUAUGGUAGAAAAAGACAGAAUGAUGGUAAUUAAGUUGUUUGCAUACACACACACAGCCACUAUAUAGUCUUUGUCACCACGCAAACACAAAGAAAAAGUAAGAACUCCUCUGACGCAGCAGACUUUUCAGCACCUCUGACUCUUGUUUUUAAAACUCACCAGUUCCCUGAUAGUAAAACCGGGCUCAGCGCCUCUGAUCCGCGGCCCUUUUAUCUUCGCAUCAAGCUGCCUCAGUGGUGUGGAGGCCCCGGAGAGAUGUGAGUUGUGCUCCGUGAAGACCCUGGAGAUGUUGGAAAAUAAAGAAGUGAAGCCGCAGCGCGGCGGGCCAAUUGAGUGGGAAGGCGUCUGUUGAAGUAUCACCUUCCGGGUGUUUGUGUUUUUAAGGAUCAACUGCGAACGAACUAAAUGAAAACCAGCAGCAAGAAGCAGCAAACUGUGUUGCUUUCUUCUCGGCGUGCAUUCAGCAGGGAUUCUCCUGCUUUCCAGGAAAAAUGGAGGAGGAACGGUUUAUUAUUCGUGUGGGCUGACAAGUAAAAACACUCGAGAAUCAUAAAUGAUAUUAAACUAAAUGAGGAAGGUUAAUUCAGUGCAACUGUUUGGCUCUCAGAUUAAAGAAGAUGCUUGAUGAGUAAUUAACACCACAUCUGCAGAGCUGCCAACUUUUCAAAAACCUUGGAGGGAGAUUUUUUCGGGGGUGACCGAAAUGUUGGUGACUCCAAUAUCAGGGAAUUGGAAUUGAUUUGGCGUUGUAGCCACGUUGCGCCCUGCAGUCUGUGAGGCCCCACUGAUGGCCUACUGGAGAUGGACAACAUUGGUUACAUUCUGUGAAGCAAAGACACAGCUGAAGGUCCCUCGCCAGGACAGUUUGGUUUGAGUAGAUGUUUCUUCCUGCAUUCUAGUGGAUUUCUGGGCGCUAUGCUAAAGAAUUGCAAUGCCUCAACUUCUUCUGAUUCAUGUUCAUCCGAUCAUGACUUGUUAGGUCCUUCUGGAGCAACCAGAAAACUAUUGUUGUGCCUCAAUGUCGGUCUAUGUGCCACAAUAAAGCCUAAUUAAUAGACCUGUGUUUGAGAUUUGACCAAUGUAGGUUGAUUGACAUUUGGAUGGUAUUCAACUGAUUCAACCUAUAUUUUUAAUAAUUGUAUUCUUAAGAGCACUUAAUGAUUUAUGUUGAUUUAUGUAUGAUAAAUGACACAAGAUUAGUUGGGGAGAAAUAUUUUUUCAUCAUUCAAAGCCUCCAACACACGUUCCAUCAAACAGAAAAGUACAACAAAUAAAGUGCUUCAACCUUUGACUUUGCUUUCAACGACACAUGACCAAAACAACCAACAAUGAGGUGAUGCAGAUCAGAAGCUGGUUAGUCAUUUGUGGGCAAAGUUGAUUGAUUACUGUAUCAUAGAUAUUAAAUACUAUGAUGUUAAUCAUUAAUGAUGUCACCUCUCUUACGGUAUGUAGGCUCAUUAUAUCACUAAAUUACAUCCAUAAAAUACUAUGAGGUUAGUCGGGUUGUAGAGACGCUGAUGAGGUUCAGGUGCAUUUUCAAUUUCAUUUAUAGUGAUGUUUGUGCAUUUGACUGUACGAGGACACACUGACCUCGAUGCAACAAGAUAACCGGUAGGUGUGUGUGUGUGUGUGGAAUGUGUUACUAUCCAUGAAAACUGUUUAAUUGUUGUUACUGUAUCCAUCCUCCUACUUUAUGAAACCAUUAUGAAGCUUAUACAGUGUGAUUUAAUACAAAUGUUCACCU